rnacentral:rRNA from 1 species
GCACGGGUGCGUAACGCGUGGGAAUCUGCCCCUUGGUUCGGAAUAACAGUUGGAAACGACUGCUAAUACCGGAUGAUGACGUAAGUCCAAAGAUUUAUCGCCGAGGGAUGAGCCCGCGUAGGAUUAGGUAGUUGGUGUGGUAAAGGCGCACCAAGCCGACGAUCCUUAGCUGGUCUGAGAGGAUGAUCAGCCACACUGGGACUGAGACACGGCCCAGACUCCUACGGGAGGCAGCAGUGGGGAAUAUUGGACAAUGGGCGAAAGCCUGAUCCAGCAAUGCCGCGUGAGUGAUGAAGGCCUUAGGGUUGUAAAGCUCUUUUACCCGGGAUGAUAAUGACAGUACCGGGAGAAUAAGCUCCGGCUAACUCCGUGCCAGCAGCCGCGGUAAUACGGAGGGAGCUAGCGUUAUUCGGAAUUACUGGGCGUAAAGCGCACGUAGGCGGCUUUGUAAGUAAGAGGUGAAAGCCCAGAGCUCAACUCUGGAAUUGCCUUUUAGACUGCAUCGCUUGAAUCAUGGAGAGGUCAGUGGAAUUCCGAGUGUAGAGGUGAAAUUCGUAGAUAUUCGGAAGAACACCAGUGGCGAAUGCGGCUGACUGGACAUGUAUUGA